UACGUAGGGUGCAAGCGUUGCCCGGAUUUAUUGGGCGUAAAGGGCGCGUAGGCGGCUCGGCACGUCCGUUGUGAAAUCGCCCGGCUCAACUGGGCGGGGUCAGCGGAUACGGUCGAGCUUGAGCAAGCUAGGGGGCAAUGGAAUUCCCGGUGUAGUGGUGGAAUGCGUAGAUAUCGGAAGGAACAUCAGUGGCGAAAGCGGCUUCCUGGACCAGUACCGACGUUCAGGCACGAAAGCGUGGGGAGCAAACAGG
rnacentral:rRNA from 1 species